AUUUAUAUAGUUUAAUAGUAAAACAUUACAUUUUCACUGUAAAAUUAGAACCUUUCUUAUAAAUA
rnacentral:tRNA from 1 species